GGGUUGUGAGGUUAAGCGACUAAGCGUACACGGUGGAUGCCCUGGCAGUCAGAGGCGAUGAAGGACGUGCUAAUCUGCGAUAAGCGUCGGUAAGGUGAUAUGAACCGUUAUAACCGGCGAUUUCCGAAUGGGGAAACCCAGUGUGUUUCGACAUACUAUCAUUAACUGAAUCCAUAGGUUAAUGAGGCGAACCGGGGGAACUGAAACAUCUAAGUACCCCGAGGAAAAGAAAUCAACCGAGAUUCCCCCAGUAGCGGCGAGCGAACGGGGAGGAGCCCAGAGCCUGAAUCAGUGUGUGUGUUAGUGGAAGCGUCUGGAAAGGCGCGCGAUACAGGGUGACAGCCCCGUACACAAAAAUGCACAUACUGUGAGCUCGAUGAGUAGGGCGGGACACGUGGUAUCCUGUCUGAAUAUGGGGGGACCAUCCUCCAAGGCUAAAUACUCCUGACUGACCGAUAGUGAACCAGUACCGUGAGGGAAAGGCGAAAAGAACCCCGGCGAGGGGAGUGAAAAAGAACCUGAAACCGUGUACGUACAAGCAGUGGGAGCACGCUUCGGCGUGUGACUGCGUACCUUUUGUAUAAUGGGUCAGCGACUUAUAUUCUGUAGCAAGGUUAACCGAAUAGGGGAGCCGAAGGGAAACCGAGUCUUAACUGGGCGUUAAGUUGCAGGGUAUAGACCCGAAACCCGGUGAUCUAGCCAUGGGCAGGUUGAAGGUUGGGUAACACUAACUGGAGGAC
rnacentral:rRNA from 1 species